rnacentral:lncRNA from 1 species
CAUCUUUGUGAGGAGAGUUAAAACAAAAAGUUAUGAAUCAAUUCCAUUAGCCGUUGGUACUCAUAAGUGAACUUCAAGAGUAGUUUGCAUUGCUAUACAACAUGGUGUUGAAUGGGCACAAGGAGGAGAGACACAUAGUGGCGCGUGUGCACCAGGAUAGAAGAUAGGAGAGAGAGAGAGAGAGUUAGGGAUUGUGUAAAAAAUACCAAUUACUUUGUAUAUAAGUGGUCACAG